GAGUGGCGAACGGGUGAGUAACACGUGGGUAAUCUGCCCUGUACUCUGGGAUAAGCCUUGGAAACGGGGUCUAAUACCGGAUAUCACAUCUCCUCGCAUGGGGGGUUGUUGAAAGUUCUGGCGGUACAGGAUGAACCCGCGGCCUAUCAGCUUGUUGGUGGGGUAAUGGCCUACCAAGGCGACGACGGGUAGCCGGCCUGAGAGGGUGACCGGCCACACUGGGACUGAGACACGGCCCAGACUCCUACGGGAGGCAGCAGUGGGGAAUAUUGCACAAUGGGCGAAAGCCUGAUGCAGCGACGCCGCGUGAGGGAUGACGGCCUUCGGGUUGUAAACCUCUUUCGCCAGGGACGAAGCGCAAGUGACGGUACCUGGAUAAGAAGCACCGGCUAACUACGUGCCAGCAGCCGCGGUAAUACGUAGGGUGCAAGCGUUGUCCGGAAUUAUUGGGCGUAAAGAGCUCGUAGGCGGUUUGUCGCGUCGGCUGUGAAAUCUGGAGGCUUAACCUUCAGCGUGCAGUCGAUACGGGCAGACUUGAGUUCGGUAGGGGAGACUGGAAUUCCU
rnacentral:rRNA from 1 species